rnacentral:rRNA from 1 species
UGGGGAAUUUUCCGCAAUGGGCGAAAGCCUGACGGAGCAAUACCGCGUGAGGGAGGAAGGCUCUUGGGUCGUAAACCUCUUUUCUCAGGGAAGAAAAUAAUGACGGUACCUGAGGAAUCAGCAUCGGCUAACUCCGUGCCAGCAGCCGCGGUAAUACGGAGGAUGCAAGCGUUAUCCGGAAUGAUUGGGCGUAAAGCGUCCGUAGGUGGCAAUUCAAGUCUGCUGUCAAAGCGCAAGGCUUAACCUUGUAAAGGCAGUGGAAACUGAAAGGCUAGAGUGCGGUAGGGGUAGAGGGAAUUCCCGGUGUAGCGGUGAAAUGCGUAGAGAUCGGGAAGAACACCAGUGGCGAAAGCGCUCUACUGGGCCUGCACUGACACUGAGGGACGAAAGCUAGGGGAGCGAAUGGGAUUAGAUACCCCAGUAGUCCUAGCCGUAAACGAUGGAUACUAGGUGUUGCCUGUAUCGACCCGGGCAGUGCCGUAGCUAACGCGUUAAGUAUCCCGCCUGGGGAGUACGCACGC